rnacentral:rRNA from 1 species
UACGUAGGGGGCGAGCGUUGUCCGGAAUUACUGGGCGUAAAGAGCACGUAGGCGGCUUGUUAAGAUGGGCGUGAAAUCUCCGGGCUUACCUCGGAGGGGUCGUCCGUGACUGGCAGGCUAGGGUCUGGGAGAGGCGAGUGGAAUUCCCGGUGGAGCGGUGAAAUGCGUAGAGAUCGGGAGGAACACCAGUGGCGUAGGCGACUCGCUGGGCCAGUACCGACGCUGAGGUGCGAAAGCGUGGGGAGCGAACCGG